rnacentral:rRNA from 1 species
CGAAUGCUGACAUAAGUAACGAUAAAGCGGGUGAAAAGCCCGCUCGCCGGAAGACCAAGGGUUCCUGUCCAACGUUAAUCGGGGCAGGGUGAGUCGACCCCUAAGGCGAGGCCGAAAGGCGUAGUCGAUGGGAAACAGGUUAAUAUUCCUGUACUUGGUGUUACUGCGAAGGGGGGACGGAGAAGGCUAUGUUGGCCGGGCGACGGUUGUCCCGGUUUAAGCGUGUAGGCUGGUUUUCCAGGCAAAUCCGGAAAAUCAAGGCUGAGGCGUGAUGACGAGGCACUACGGUGCUGAAGCAACAAAUGCCCUGCUUCCAGGAAAAGCCUCUAAGCAUCAGGUAACAUCAAAUCGUACCCCAAACCGACACAGGUGGUCAGGUAGAGAAUACCAAGGCGCUUGAGAGAACUCGGGUGAAGGAACUAGGCAAAAUGGUGCCGUAACUUCGGGAGAAGGCACGCUGAUAUGUAGGUGAAGUCCCUCGCGGAUGGAGCUGAAAUCAGUCGAAGAUACCAGCUGGCUGCAACUGUUUAUUAAAAACACAGCACUGUGCAAACACGAAAGUGGACGUAUACGGUGUGACGCCUGCCCGGUGCCGGAAGGUUAAUUGAUGGGGUCAGCGCAAGCGAAGCUCUUGAUCGAAGCCCCGGUAAACGGCGGCCGUAACUAUAACGGUCCUAAGGUAGCGAAAUUCCUUGUCGGGUAAGUUCCGACCUGCACGAAUGGCGUAAUGAUGGCCAGGCUGUCUCCACCCGAGACUCAGUGAAAUUGAACUCGCUGUGAAGAUGCAGUGUACCCGCGGCAAGACGGAAAGACCCCGUGAACCUUUACUAUAGCUUGACACUGAACAUUGAGCCUUGAUGUGUAGGAUAGGUGGGAGGCUUUGAAGUGUGGACGCCAGUCUGCAUGGAGCCGACCUUGAAAUACCACCCUUUAAUGUUUGAUGUUCUAACGUUGACCCGUGAUCCGGGUUGCGGACAGUGUCUGGUGGGUAGUUUGACUGGGGCGGUCUCCUCCUAAAGAGUAACGGAGGAGCACGAAGGUUGGCUAAUCCUGGUCGGACAUCAGGAGGUUAGUGCAAUGGCAUAAGCCAGCUUGACUGCGAGCGUGACGGCGCGAGCAGGUGCGAAAGCAGGUCAUAGUGAUCCGGUGGUUCUGAAUGGAAGGGCCAUCGCUCAACGGAUAAAAGGUACUCCGGGGAUAACAGGCUGAUACCGCCCAAGAGUUCAUAUCGACGGCGGUGUUUGGCACCUCGAUGUCGGCUCAUCACAUCCUGGGGCUGAAGUAGGUCCCAAGGGUAUGGCUGUUCGCCAUUUAAAGUGGUACGCGAGCUGGGUUUAGAACGUCGUGAGACAGUUCGGUCCCUAUCUGCCGUGGGCGCUGGAGAACUGAGGGGGGCUGCUCCUAGUACGAGAGGACCGGAGUGGACGCAUCACUGGUGUUCGGGUUGUCAUGCCAAUGGCACUGCCCGGUAGCUAAAUGCGGAAGAGAUAAGUGCUGAAAGCAUCUAAGCACGAAACUUGCCCCGAGAUGAGUUCUCCCUGACUCCUUGAGAGUCCUGAAGGAACGUUGAAG